AUGGCAUCUCCCGUGUUCUUGUCCAUCCUCCUGGUCAUAUUUGGCAGCUACCUUUCCAUUUCUGCUGCAGGCGACGUUAAGCAAAGCUUCGUUGUGGUGUCAACCAGAUCAUUUCAGACAGAAGAUGUCUGCUCCACAUCAACAGGCACGGACCCUGCGCCAAGUCGCAGUCCGCCGACAAGCCAUCUUUCGCUUGAGGCGCUUCACAGAAGCCGUGUCCGCGCAGACUACUACAUCAUGAGCAGAGCGCGGAGGGGCACCACGAUGCAGGACCAGGACGAGGACAAGGUGAGCAUCCCGGCGUACCUGGGCACCUCCGUCGACUCGCAGGAGUACGUGGUCACGUUGGGCCUGGGCACGCCCGCCGUGGAGCAGGUCCUCCUCCUCGACACCGGCAGCGACCUGUCGUGGAUGCAGUGCGCGCCAUGCAACUCCAGCGACUGCUACCCUCAGAAGGAUCCCUUGUUUGACCCGCGCAAGUCCUCCACCUACACUCCCAUCUCGUGCGGCUCCGACGUCUGCAAGAUCCUCCGGUCUGACCACCACUUGAACAAUGGCUGCAGCAUGAACAGCAAUGGCAGCCAGCCCCAGUGUGAGUAUCGAGUCGAGUACGCAGGAGGGUUAAAGACCAGCGGCGUUUACAGCAACGAGGCGCUCACGCUGGCGCCCGGCGUCGUCAUCAAGGACUUCCAUUUCGGCUGCGGAUACAAGCAGGGUGGCCCGAGCGACAAGUUUGACGGCCUGCUCGCACUCGGCAGAUCGCCCGAGUCGCUCCCGCGGCACCGGGUUCCUUGCUCUUGGCGCGCCCAGCAACACCUCGGCCUUCUCAUUCACGCCCAUUACCGCCUUCUACGUGGUGAAGCUCACCGGUUCAGCGUCGGCGGGAAGCAGCUCCGCAUCCCACGGAAGGCGCUCAAGGGGGGCAUGCUCGUAGACUGCGGCAGUAUCAUCACAAUGCUACCAACGACGCCCCGCGCGAAACUGAAGUCCGCGUUCCGGGCGGCCAUGGCGGCUUACCCGCUCGUCCCAAGCGACCCGGACGAGACAUGCUACAACUUCACCGGAUACAGCAACGUCACCGUGCCCAAGGUCGCUCUCACGUUCAGCGGUGGCGUCACGAUUGACCUCGAUGUCCCCAACGGGGUUCUGUUGGACGGCUGUCUAGCCUUCGGCGAGUCCGGGCCAGAUGGUUACGGCGGGACCAUCAGCAACGUCCAAAUGAGAACGUUGGAGAUGUUGUACGACAUUAGGGGUGGUAGACUCGGAUUCCGGCCAGAAUUGGCAUCAGAGUCAUGGGUGUUCGACCUUAAGCCUGGUAGAUCAAGUGGUGUCUCAACUACUACGGUCAUGUUGGACUCGAGAUGGAGAAGGAGAAGACGAAAGGAGAUCAAACCACUAUCGCACCGGUUGCAUGACUCACUGCGCGGUAGUGGAGAAAUCCGCGUGGUGGAGAGGGUGGUGCGCGAGACGGAGUCAUCGGCGUCCAUGAGGGCAUGUACAACAGUCUAG
rnacentral:rRNA from 1 species